GACGAACGCUGGCGGCGUGCCUAAUACAUGCAAGUCGAGCGAAGUUUUUCUGGUGCUUGCACUAGAAAAACUUAGCGGCGAACGGGUGAGUAACACGUAAAGAACCUGCCUCAUAGACUGGGACAACUAUUGGAAACGAUAGCUAAUACCGGAUAACAGUAUUUCUCGCAUGAGAGAUAUUUAAAAGUUGGUUAUGCUAACACUAUGAGAUGGCUUUGCGGUGCAUUAGCUAGUUGGUGGGGUAAAGGCCCACCAAGGCGACGAUGCAUAGCCGACCUGAGAGGGUGAUCGGCCACACUGGGACUGAGACACGGCCCAUACUCCUACGGGAGGCAGCAGUAGGGAAUCUUCCGCAAUGGGCGAAAGCCUGACGGAGCAACGCCGCGUGAGUGAAGAAGGAUUUCGGUUCGUAAAGCUCUGUUGUUAGGGAAGAAUGGAUAUGUAGUAACUAUACAUGUAAGAGACGGUACCUAACCAGAAAGCCACGGCUAACUACGUG
rnacentral:rRNA from 1 species